rnacentral:rRNA from 1 species
AUACGUAGGGGGCGAGCGUUGCCCGGAAUGAUUGGGCGUAAAGGGCGCGUAGGCGGCCCGGUAAGUCUGGAGUGAAAGUCCUGUUUUUAAGAUGGGAAUUGCUUUGGAUACUGUCGGGCUUGAGUGCAGGAGAGGUAAGUGGAAUUCCCAGUGUAGCGGUGAAAUGCGUAGAGAUUGGGAGGAACACCAGUGGCGAAGGCGACUUACUGGACUGUAACUGACGCUGAGGCGCGAAAGUGUGGGGAGCAAACAGGAUUAGAUACCCUGGUAGUCCACACUGUAAACGGUGAAUGCUAGGUGUAGGGGGUAUCGACCCCUUCUGUGCCGCAGUCAACACAAUAAGCAUUCCGCCUGGGGAGUACGGCCGCAAGGUUGAAACUUAAAGGAAUUGACGGGG